AACGAACGCUGGCGGCAGGCCUAACACAUGCAAGUCGAGCGAGGACUUCGGUCCUAGCGGCGGACGGGUGAGUAACGCGUGGGAACGUGCCCUUUGCUUCGGAAUAGCCCUGGGAAACUGGGAGUAAUACCGGAUGAGCCCUUUGGGGGAAAGAUUUAUCGGCGAAGGAUCGGCCCGCGUUGGAUUAGGUAGUUGGUGGGGUAAUGGCCGACCAAGCCGACGAUCCAUAGCUGGUUUGAGAGGAUGAUCAGCCACACUGGGACUGAGACACGGCCCAGACUCCUACGGGAGGCAGCAGUGGGGAAUCGUAGACAAUGGGGGAAACCCUGAUCUAGCCAUGCCGCGUGAGCGAUGAAGGCCUUAGGGUUGUAAAGCUCUUUCAGCUGGGAAGAUAAUGACGGUACCAGCAGAAGAAGCCCCGGCUAACUCCGUG
rnacentral:rRNA from 1 species